AUCCUUACUAAGGGCACUUUUUCUGCCAACUGAGGAAAAAGUGCUGCUAGUGGGGAAGU
rnacentral:pre_miRNA from 1 species